rnacentral:tRNA from 1 species
AGUCCGGUACAGCAUCAAACUGCAAAUUUGAACAAGCACCCCUAAAGGG